UACGUAGGGUGCAAGCGUUAAUCGGAAUUAUUGGGCGUAAAGAGCUCGUAGGCGGUUUGUCGCGUCGGCUGUGAAAACUCGGGGCUCAACCCCGAGCCUGCAGUCGAUACGGGCAGACUAGAGUGCUGUAGGGGAGACUGGAAUUCCUGGUGUAGCGGUGAAAUGCGUAGAGAUCAGGAGGAACACCAGUGGCGAAGGCGGUGCUCUGGGCCGGUACUGACGCUGAGGAGCGAAAGCGUGGGGAGCAAACAGG
rnacentral:rRNA from 1 species